rnacentral:rRNA from 1 species
CCCUUAGAUGUUCUGGGCCGCACGCGCGCUACACUGACGAUGGCAACGAGUUUUUCCUUCGCCGAAAGGUGUGGGUAAUCUUUUGAAACAUCGUCGUGCUGGGGAUAGAUCAUUGCAAUUUUUGAUCUUGAACGAGGAAUUCCUAGUAAGCGCGAGUCAUCAGCUCGCGUUGAUUACGUCCCUGCCCUUUGUACACACCGCCCGUCGCUACUACCGAUUGAAUGGUUUAGUGAGGACUCCUGAUUGGCGCCGCCGCCCCGGCAGCGGAGCAGCGGACUGCCGAAAAGUUGUUCAAACUUGAUCAUUUAGAGGAAGUAAAAGUCGUAACA